rnacentral:rRNA from 1 species
UUGAACGCUGGCGGCAGGCCUAACACAUGCAAGUCGCACGGUAACAGGAAGCAGCUUGCUGCUUUGCUGACGAGUGGCGGACGGGUGAGUAAUGUCUGGGAAACUGCCUGAUGGAGGGGGAUAACUACUGGAAACGGUAGCUAAUACCGCAUAACGUCGCAAGACCAAAGAGGGGGACCUUCGGGCCUCUUGCCAUCGGAUGUGCCCAGAUGGGAUUAGCUUGUUGGUGGGGUAACGGCUCACCAAGGCGACGAUCCCUAGCUGGUCUGAGAGGAUGACCAGCCACACUGGAACUGAGACACGGUCCAGACUCCUACGGGAGGCAGCAGUGGGGAAUAUUGCACAAUGGGCGCAAGCCUGAUGCAGCCAUGCCGCGUGUAUGAAGAAGGCCUUCGGGUUGUAAAGUACUUUCAGCGGGGAGGAAGGGAGUAAAGUUAAUACCUUUACUCAUUGACGUUACCCGCAGAAGAAGCACCGGCUAACUCCGUG